rnacentral:rRNA from 1 species
UUCCGGUUGAUCCCGCCGGACCUGACUGCUAUCAGAGUGAGAUUAAGCCAUGCGAGUCAACGCCGCAAGGCGUGGCAUACGGCUCAGUAACACGUAGUCAACAUGCCCAAAGGACGUGGAUAACCUCGGGAAACUGAGGAUAAACCGCGAUAGGUCAUAAUUACUGGAAUGUAUUAUGGCCCAAAUCUAUAUGGCCUUUGGAUUGGACUGCGGCCGAUCAGGCUGUUGGUGAGGUAAUGGCCCACCAAACCUUUUACCGGUACGAGCUCUGAGAGGUGGAGCCCGGAGAUGGGCACUGAGACAAGGGCCCAGGCCCUAUGGGGCGCAGCAGGCGCGAAACCUCUGCAAUAGGCGAAAGCCUGACAGGGUUACUCUGAGUGAUUCCCGCUAAGGGAAUCUUUUGGCAUCUCUAAAAAUGGUGCAGAAUAAGGGGUGGGCAAGUCUGGUGUCAGCCGCCGCGGUAAUACCAGCACCCCGAGUGGUCGGGACGAUUAUUGGGCCUAAAGCAUCCGUAGCCGGUACUGCAAGUCUUCCGUUAAAUCCACCUGCUUAACAGUUGGGCUGCGGGGGAUACUACAGCGCUAGGAGGCGGGAGAGGCAAGCGGUACUCAAUGGGUAGGGGUAAAAUCCGUUGAUCCACUGAAGACCACCAGUGGCGAAGGCGGCUUGCCAGAACGCGCUCGACGGUGAGGGAUGAAAGCUGGGGAGCAAACCGGAUUAGAUACCCGGGUAGUCCCAGCUGUAAACGAUGCAGACUCGGUGAUGAAUAGGCUUCGUGCCUUUUCAGUGCCGCAGGGAAGCCGUUAAGUCUGCCGCCUGGGGAGUACGGUCGCAAGACUGAAACUUAAAGGAAUUGGCGGGGGAGCACCACAAGGGGUGAAGCCUGCGGUUCAAUUGGAGUCAACGCCGGG